GAUGAACGCUGGCGGCGUGCCUAAUACAUGCAAGUCGAGCGAACAGACGAGGAGCUUGCUCCUCUGACGUUAGCGGCGGAAGGGUGAGUAACACGUGGAUAACCUACCUAUAAGACUGGGAUAAAUUCGGGAAACCGGAGCUAAUACCGGGUAAUAUAUUGAACCGCAUGGUUCAAUAGUGAAAGACGGUUUUGCUGUCACUUAUAGAUGGAUCCGCGCCGCAUUAGCUAGUUGGUAAGGUAAAGGCUUACCAAGGCGACGAUGCGUAGCCGACCUGAGAGGGUGAUCGGCCACACUGGAACUGAGACACGGUCCAGACUCCUACGGGAGGCAGCAGUAGGGAAUCUUCCGCAAUGGGCGAAAGCCUGACGGAGCAACGCCGCGUGAGUGAUGAAGGUCUUCGGAUCGUAAAACUCUGUUAUUAGGGAAGAACAAAUGUGUAAGUAACUAUGCACGUCUUGACGGUACCUAAUCAGAAAGCCACGGCUAACUACGUG
rnacentral:rRNA from 1 species